rnacentral:sRNA from 1 species
GUUGAGUUUUUUUUUGGUCCAAUCUGACAGUAUUUACAGUUUUAAUGGAAUAUUUUAAUGCAUUUUACAUUUACUAGAAUUCUAAUAUUUUUGAAUACAGAUUAUUAGCUUGCUAUUUUCUAUUUGUCCUAUGUGGUUUUUUUCUUUCUUUUUCCUCUCUGGCUUUUCUUGAUUAAUUUUUAAAAUUAGUCCAUGUUUUCCAGCUGUUAACUUAUAGUUAUAUAUACAUUAAGUAUUCUAUUUAUUUAUGUAUUUGUAGCGAUUGGGAUCUUGCUUUGUUGAAGCUAGUCUUGAACUCCUAGCUUCAAACAAUUCUCCCACCUCAGCCUCCCAAAAGUGUUGGGAUUACAGGCAUGAGUCACUGUGCCCAGCUAAGUAUUCUUCUAUAUACAUUAUUCCUAUAUAUUUUAUACAGAUGAUUAUUAUUUUAUAAUAUAGAGAUUAUAAUUUACUUCCUUGACUGUGAACUAGUAUUUUUACCACAUCCCGGACAAUGCAAGGACCUUAGAACACAUUAACUCCAUUCAUUUGCUCUUCUUUUUUUUUUCUUUUAUUGUCAGGUAUUUAAAUUCUAUACAUAUUUUAAAUUCUAUAAGAUGUUAUUAUAAUUAUUUUGUGCAGUAAAUACUCAUUUAGAUUUGUAUACCUUGGUCGUUUCUGUUACUUUUUGUUGCUUUUUUGGUUUUUCUGCCUCCAUCUGAGAAUUUUUUUUUAAGAGUUUUUUAUUAUUUAAUGUAGUGCACUUACAUUAGCAAUGAUUUCUGUAAGGUUUUUUUUUUUAAAUCUAAAAAUUGUUUCUGUUUUAAAAAAUGUUAUCACUAGGUAUAGAGUUCUAGGUUGGCAGUUGGAGUCCAUUUUUUGUAGGAACAUUGGCUAUCAGUUUUAUUGUUGCUUCUUUGAAGGAACUGUGUUCCCCAUUCUCUUAGGAGUUCCUUCAGCUAUAUCCCACAGCACUUUGCUUGCUUGCUUAUUUAUAUGGGGGAGUUUAUUUUAUUUUUAUGGGUAUAUAAUAGUACAUAUUUAUGGAGUACAUGUGAUAUUUUGAUAUAAGCAUACAAUGUAUAAUGAUCAAAUCAGAGUAAUUAGAAUGUCCAUUACCUCUAACAUUUAUUGAUUCUCUGUGUUAGGAACAUUUCAGAUCUGCUCUUCUGGUUAUUUUGAAAUAUACAACAAAUUACUGUUAACUGUUGUUACCCUAUUGUGCUACUGAACACUAGAUCUUAUUCCUUCUAUCUAAAUUUUUAUGUACCCAUUAGCCAUCCCUUCUUAAUUCUCCCCUUCCCCACCAUCCUUUACAGCCUGUGGUAAUCAUCAUUCUACUCUUUAUCUCCAUGAGAUCAUUUUUUUUUUUUUUUUUUAAGCUCCCACAUAUAAAGGAGAACAUGUGAUGUUUGUUUUUCUGUGCCUGGAUUAUUUCAGUUAACAUAAUGACUUCCAGUUAAAUCCGUGUUGUUUCAAGUGACAGGAUUUCAUUCUUUUUUACGUCUGAAUGAUACUCCUUAUACCACAUUUUAAAAAAUCCAUUCAUCUAUUGAUGGACACUUAGGUAGAUUCCAUAUCUUGGUUAUUGUGAAUAGUGCUGCAGUAAACAUGGGAGUGCAUAUAUCUCUUUGACAUACCAAUUUCCUUUCUUUUGGAUAUAUACCCAGCAGUGGGAUUGCUGGAUCAUAUGCAGGUUCUGUUUUUCGUUUUUUGAGGAACUCCAUACUAUUUCCAAUAAUGGCUCUACUAAUUUACGUUCCCACUAACAGUGUAUGAGCAUUCUCCUUCCUCCACAUCUUUGCCAGCAUCUGUUAUUUUUUUUUUUGUCUUGUUGAUAAAAGCCUUUUUAACUGGGGUGAGAUAUCUCACUGUGGUUUUGAUUUGCAUUUCUCUGAUGAUUGGUAAUGUUGAGAAUUUUUUCAUAUACCUGUUGGUCAUUUGUAUGUCUUAAGAAGUUUCUAUUCAGAUCUUUUGCCAAGAUUUAAUUAGAUUAUUAUUAUUAUUUUGCUGUUGUUUGAGUUCCUUAUAUAUUUUGGUGGUUAAUCUCUUGCCAGUUGAAUAGUUUGCAAGUAUUUUCUCUCAUUCCAUAGGUGGUCUCUUCACUUUGUUGACUGUUUCCUUUGCUAUGCAGAAGCUUUUUAGCUUGAUAUGAUCUCAUUUACUUAUUUUUGCUUUACUUGCCUGUGUUUUUGAGGUCUUACUUAAUAAAUCUUUGUCCAGGCUAAUGUCCUGAAGCAUUUCUCUAAUGUUUUCUUCUAGUAGUUUCAUAGUUGCAGGUCUUAAACUUAAGUCUUUAAUUCAUUUUCAUUUGAUUUUCGUAUGUGAUGAGAGAUAGAGAUCUAGUUUCAUUUUUCUGCAUAUGGAUAUCCAGUUUUCUGAGUACCAUUCAUUGAAGAGACUGUUCUUUCCCCAAAUUAUGUUCAUGGUGCUUUUGUUGAAAGUUGACCAAAUGUGUGGAUUUAUUUGUGCAUUCUUUAUUCUGUUUUAUUAGUCUGUGUGUCUGUUUUUAUGCUAGUAUCAUGCUGUUUUGGUUACUAUAGCUUUGUAGCAUAAUUCAGAGUUAGGCAGUGUGAUGCCUCCCUCUUUGUUCUUUUUGCUUAGGAUUGUUUUGGCUAUUUAGGAGCAUGUUUUGUUCCAUAUACAUUUUAGGAGUUUUAAAAUUUCUUUUUGUUCCUUCUAGGAUGCAAAUUUACAUGCAUGUUAGAUUAUUUCACCAUGUUAAAGGAAAAACUUGAGACAAAAUACACAUGCAUGUGUCUUUACGAUAGAACAAAAUUAACUUUGGUUUAAAAGAUACUGCUAUUGAAUCUGUUUUUAUUUCUAAACGUAUUUCUUGGUUCUUGUUGAAUUUAUUGAUGAUGAAACCAUGUUCUCAAGUGAAAAUAAUAAGCUGGAAUUCAGUCACUUAGUGACCUCUAUGAUCAUAGGCAAUUCAUUUAUCAGCUUUAAGCCUCAUUUUGAUCAUUUGUAAAAUAGGUAUCAUAGUGCCAUACCAUGUAACUGUGAAUGAAUGAUACAAAAUAAGCAGUGUUUGGCAUAAAGUAAAUAUCAGUGUUUUAGCUGAACACCUUUUGUGUUUGGUUCACUAUAUUCAUGGUCCCUGACUUCAAGGAGCAUUAGUUAUCUCCACAACAACUCUAAUAUAGCAUAGAAUGUGGUAAGUCCUCAAGAAAGGAUUUAAGUGUUCUGGGGAGUUUAGAGGAGAUGAAAAGAAUAAUUGAAAUACUGUAUAAGUUAUGAUAAUUGUUUAGGGACUAAGAGAAACCUUUGCAUUAUUGUGGGUUGGGAGGCAUUGAACUAGCCCUCAUUUGUGGCUCAUCUUUUUGAGUAGCAUUUAAGAAUUUGAAAGUUUGUAAUUAUUUGUACACAUUUUCUUUAGGUAUCAUCUACCUGUUCAUGUAAUUGGACACCAUGCUGUGAGUCCUUACUCCAUAGUUUUGCCCUUAUCUGCUGAUUGUUUGGCCUUGAAGCCGGUGUCAGAUAUGCUGAGAAUAGCUUGGAACCUGUCAUGGUAUCAUGGGAGUGAUAAUCUGUUGAAGCAAAUGAACUCGGAAACUAAAACGCAAGAAAUUUUAGAUGCAUUAAAGUUAUCCACAGAGGACAUCCUCACUCUGAAGAUAACACACGUGGCUAGUGGGCUGCAGGACUGCCUCCAUUCCAUUGUUCAGGCUGCAACCCACAGGGAAGUUAGGGCUGCUGUCACCAGGAUGAGUUUUUAUCUUCUGAAUGACAGAUUGUCUUUAAAGGGUUGCCCUGGUCCAUGUGGGGUUACCUUGAAGUCCUUGGCUUGGCACACCGCACUAAACAGGUUUUUACAAGUGCUUCCUGCUUGCACUGAAGAUGAGAAACUGCUGAUAGAUAUCGUACAUUUUUUAAAUAAAUUAAUAAAAGAACAAAGAAAAAAUUCUUCAUUAGAACUUCUAAACUGGAUUCUCGAAUUACUUCUUAGACAUAGUGCAAACCCACUGUUAGACCUCUUGGUUCUGACAGAGUCACAGGAACGAGAAGAAACAGAUGAUAUUCGGACUGCUGUCAGGCAACAGCUUCAGAAAGAACUGAUUGCUCUUUUUGAUACCUUGCUGCUCAAUUUCAUGGAAGUUACUGACAGGAAAUGCUCGGAACUUCUUUACGUUUUUCAAACGCAGCUGGCUCUGAAACUGCUCCAGUGUCUGAAAGUGACGGAUGCACCUCAUUUCUAUGGCCUGCCAUCCCUUGAGCGGACCUUACGAGGGAUGGCUAACCUCACUGCGUUUCCGGGAUGGAGCUCACACUCUCCUCUCACAAAGCCUCUAGAUGUCUGUGUGAAGUACUUGUCAGGUCUCCUUGAGGUCAUUACUUCUUUUUAUGUGGAGCGUGGAGGAAAUGCUAUGUCCUUCAUGGGAAAAGGUGUUACAAAGAGCACAAUUCUUUGCUUGCUUCACUUAUCCCAUGAGAUGAUGGCCCAGGCUGGGAGCUCGGAGUGGAUGUCACUUUGGUUCUUGCCUUUGGGUAGUCAUAGUGAAGAACAUAUUCCUACUCAACAAGGAUUGGCUUGGUUGAUUCCAUUAUGGGUUGAUCGGGACCCAGAGGUGAGAUUCACUUCACUGGGAUUAGGAUCAGCACUGACCACCCUUGAAACUGGCUGUGUGGCCUUAGCAAACAGUUGUCAGAACAUUUCCGGUGGGCUCUGGGGAACUGUGGUGAACAUUCUUCUGGACCAGUCAGAAUGUAGCAUGGUGCGCCGGGAGGCUGCAUUUAUUCUUCAGAAUCUCCUUGUAAUUCCAAUGCCUGCAGAAAUUAUAAAGGAUUAUACUUGGCAGGGUCCCUGUGUCCAUGAUGAGGACUCUGGCCUAUCGCUCAUUGGAAAACCUGCCCUUCAGGCUCUUUUAUAUCACUGCCAUUUUUAUGAACAUUUGAAUCAGAUGGUAAAACAUUGUUACCUAGGACGGUGUAUGUUUGAUUUGAAUUUUUCUGCUUUUGAUAGAAAUUCAGAAAGCAAUGAUUUAAAUGGUAAGUACAAUAUCUUUAUGUUUUUAUUUUUGUAAUAUGUAACUUUUAAAAACUGUUAAAAAUACAUACAUUUGUUUUAAAAAUUUGAAAAAUGAAAGUAUACAGGGAAAACAUUCAUUUCCAGUUCUACCACCCAGAGAGAUGUAUUUUCUUCCAGUCUUCUUUCUCUGUAUAGCCUUUGUUUUAUGUAAUUAUGUUCAUAUCUUGUGUACAUUUUUGUAUUUCCUUCUUUCGCUAAAUAUUCUACAAGCAUUUUUCUAUGUUAUAAAUUCUUCAUGGAAGUUAUUUUUGACAUCUUAUUAAUAUUUUAUAAGUUUUGCCCAUCAGUACAGUUUUAUAGUUUCUUUCUCUAUUAACGUCUCAAACUUUUUUGGAACUUUCACUUCUAGGCAAUGUACAGUUUUUUUAUCCUUCUUGUGAAUGAGACUUUUUCCCACUAUAUUUUCUAAUUCAUUUUGCUCGUGUAUCAAAAAGUUAUUUAUUUUAGUAUGUUAUUUAUUUGUCACAAUAUUUUCCUGAAACCUUUUUAUUACUUUUGUUUGUAGGUUCUCAUAGAUUUGCUAAGUAUAAGAUCUGAGCACAUAAAAAU